rnacentral:rRNA from 1 species
UACGUAGGGGGCAAGCGUUGUCCGGAUUUAUUGGGCGUAAAGAGCUCGUAGGCGGUUUCGUAAGUCGAGUGUGAAAAAUCUGGGCUCAACCCAGUGGAGCACUCGAUACUGCGAUGACUAGAGUACGGUAGAGGAGUGUGGAAUUCCUGGUGUAGCGGUGAAAUGCGCAGAUAUCAGGAGGAACACCAACGGCGAAGGCAGCACUCUGGGCCGGUACUGCCGCUGAGGAGCGAAAGCGUGGGGAGCAAACAGG